AAGGGGAACCCCAGUCUGCUUGGGAAGGGGAGGGGGGGGAGCUCAGAAAGCCAGGCCUGCCGCUCUGUGGGACAAGGCAAAGAGCUGGCUGGUGUCUGAACGCAUCACUUGGGACCCGGUUCUUCCGAGGGAAAGGUACCCUAUAAGCAUGGGCCAGUCGGCCUCAGUUUCCUGACCUGUAUUAUGGUAGAGCUGGGACUAAGAUGUCUUUCAGCUUCACAUCUCUGAAUUACACUUGUCUUUGAGGUUGGGGGGGGGGAGAGAGGAUGAGCUUUGGAGGCCGAGGAACCUUAGAGAUAGACUAGAUCCAUCACCCCCCACGGGAGGAAACAGGUCCGAGAGAGGGAAAGGGCUUUUCCGAGAUCUUCUAAAGUCAAUGGCCAAAUCAGAACCACACUGCAGUCUCCCGGCUCCCAGCUCGGGGCUCUCUCUCCAUUGAGGUUCUAGGGGCCUGGAGAUGGACUAAGAGCUUUGGGUAUUGGGGGAGGGAGGGAUGGAGAGACGCCUGGGCAGGGCUCGUUGUGGUUUCCUUGGGUGACUCAGGGUCACAUCACGCCGAGGCUAGUCAGUUUGUUCGAUGUCCUUGCUCCUGGGAUGGGGAUGGAGCCUUGGGGGGCACGUUAAAGGUGGAUUGCCUUGUUUGGGUGGGGGGGAGGAUGAGGAGAAAUGUGCAGAGAUCCAGGAAGCCCAGGACAAUUGAGGGGGGGGGGGAGACUGACAGGGCUUGGUGCAGUAAGAAAGGGGUCCCAGGUUUGGGUGGGAUGUUAGAGUGAGAAUUCUACCCUGGCCGGGAGAGCGGAGGAUGCCUAGAAUAGAGCAAGAGGUCAGGAAGGCGGAGGAUGUGCUGCCUAGAACAGAGCAAGAGGUCAGGAAGGCGGAGGAUGUGCUGCCUAGAACAGAGGCCAGAGGUCAGGAAGGUGGAGGAUGUGCUACCUAGAACAGAGGCCAGAGGUCAGGAAAGAUGCAGUGCCUGGGCUGUGUAGAGAUGGGAUGAGGGUGAGGGGGGAUCAGAAGAGGUAAGGGGGUCAGGGAGGGGACAGGCAGGACCCGGGGGUAGGGGAGGAUGCCCAGGGAAGGUCUGUCCCCUCCUUCCCCCCCCCCCUCCCCUGCAGAUCAAGGACAUGAGCCGGAGCGGCAGGUGGCAGGGCUGCAGGUGCCGGG
rnacentral:lncRNA from 1 species